rnacentral:rRNA from 1 species
GGCGGCGUGCCUAACACAUGCAAGUCGAACGAGAACGUUCUGCUUCGGCAGAAUUAGUAAAGUGGCGCACGGGUGAGUAACACGUGAGUAACCUGCCCUUAAAUCGGGGAUAACUUCGCGAAAGCGAUGCUAAUACCGGAUAUUGUUCAAGAAACUGUGGUUUUUUGAAUAAAAGGUGACCUCUUCUUGAAAGUUGCCGUUUAUCGAGGGGCUCGCGUACCAUUAGCUUGUUGGUAGGGUAAUGGCCUACCAAGGCUACGAUGGUUAGCUGGUCUGAGAGGAUGAUCAGCCACACUGGAACUGAAACACGGUCCAGACUCCUACGGGAGGCAGCAGUGAGGGAUUUUGCGCAAUGGGGGAAACCCUGACGCAGCAACGCCGCGUGAGUGAAGAAGGCUUUCGGGUCGUAAAGCUCUGUCGAGUGGGAAAAAAAUUCUAUGGUAAAUAGCCAUAGAGCUUGAUGGUACCAUUAGAGGAAGCACCGGCUAACUCCGUGCCAGCAGCCGCGGUAAUACGGAGGGUGCUAGCGUUGUUCGGAAUUAUUGGGCGUAAGAGCGUGUAGGCGGUUUGGUAAGUCAGAUGUGAAAGCCCGGGGCUCAACCCCGGAAGUGCAUUUGAAACUGCCUGACUUGAGUAUGGGAGAGGAGAGUGGAAUUCCCAGUGUAGAGGUGAAAUUCGUAGAUAUUGGGAGGAACACCCGUGGCGAAGGCGACUCUCUGGACCAAUACUGACGCUGAGACGCGAAAGCGUGGGGAGCAAACAGGAUUAGAUACCCUGGUAGUCCACGCCGUAAACGAUGAGAACUAGGUGUAGCGGGUAUUGACCCCUGCUGUGCCGAAGCUAACGCAUUAAGUUCUCCGCCUGGGGAGUACGGCCGCAAGGCUAAAACUCAAAGGAAUUGACGGGGACCCGCACAAGCGGUGGAGCAUGUGGUUUAAUUCGACGCAACGCGAAGAACCUUACCUGGAUUUGACAUCCUUUGACCACCCUGGAAACAGGGUUUAUCCGACUUGUCGGAACAGAGUGACAGGUGCUGCAUGGCUGUCGUCAGCUCGUGUCGUGAGAUGUUGGGUUAAGUCCCGCAACGAGCGCAACCCCUGUCUUUAGUUGCCAGUAUUUAGUUAGGCACUCUAAAGAUACUGCCUCGGUUAACGGGGAGGAAGGUGGGGAUGACGUCAAGUCCUCAUGGCCUUUAUAUCCAGGGCUACACACGUGCUACAAUGGGCUGUACAAAGGGUUGCUAUUUCGCGAGAAAACGCUAAUCCCAAAAAGCAGUCCUCAGUUCGGAUUGGAGUCUGCAACUCGACUCCAUGAAGUUGGAAUCGCUAGUAAUCGUGGAUCAGCAUGCCACGGUGAAUACGAUCCCGGGUCUUGU